AGGGGCAAGACCCUGCAGACAGGAACCUCUGGUUUUGCUCCCAGCAGAAUCAACAGCACACCCCAGCCUUAACUGUAGAUAAUACCCAAUGCCUCUGGGGAGGCUUAAAAACACCCCAA